rnacentral:rRNA from 1 species
AAGCGACCCGUCUUGAAACACGGACCAAGGAGUCUAACAUCUAUGCGAGUGUUUGGGUGUCAAACCCAUCCGCGUAAUUAACGUGAACGGAGGUGAGAGCCCUGAAGGGUGCAUCACCGACCGGUCCUGAUGUCUUCGGAUGGAUCUGAGUAAGAGCAUAGCUGUUGGGACCCGAAAGAUGGUGAACUAUGCCUGAAUAGGGUGAAGCCAGAGGAAACUCUGGUGGAGGCUCGCAGCGGUUCUGACGUGCAAAUCGAUCGUCAAAUUUGGGUAUAGGGG